UAAGCGGAGGAAAAGAAACUAACAAGGAUUCCCCUAGUAACUGCGAGUGAAGCGGGAAAAGCUCAAAUUUAAAAUCUGGCAGUCUUUGGCUGUCCGAGUUGUAAACUAGAGAAGUGUUAUCCGCGCUGGACCGUGUAAAAGUCUCCUGGAAUGGAGCAUCAUAGAGGGUGAGAAUCCCGUCUUUGACAUGGACUACCAGUGCUUUGUGAUGCGCUCUCAAAGAGUCGAGUUGUUUGGGAAUGCAGCUCAAAAUGGGUGGUAAAUUCCAUCUAAAGCUAAAUAUUGGCGAGAGACCGAUAGCGAACAAGUACCGUGAGGGAAAGAUGAAAAGAACUUUGGAAAGAGAGUUAAACAGUACGUGAAAUUGCUGAAAGGGAAACGCUUGAAGUCAGUCGCGUUGGCCAGGAAUCAACCUUGCUUUUGCUGGGCGUACUUUCUGGUUGACGGGUCAGCAUCAAUUUUGACUGUUGGAAAAAGUUCAAGGGAAUGUGGCAUCUUCGGAUGUGUUAUAGCCCUCGUUCGCAUACAGCAGUUGGGAUUGAGGAACUCAGCACGCCGCAAGGCCGGGUUUCGACCACGUUCGUGCUUAGGAUGCUGGCAUAAUGGCUUUAAUCGACCCGUCUUGAAACACGGACCAAGGAGUCUAACAUGCCUGCGAGUGUUUGGGUGGAAAACCCAAGCGCGCAAUGAAAGUGAAAGUUGAGAUCCCUGUCGUGGGGAGCAUUGACGCCCGGACCAGACCUUUUGUGACGGAUCCGCGGUAGAGCAUGCAUGUUGGGACCCGAAAGAUGGUGAACUAUGCCUGAAUAGGGUGAAGCCAGAGGAAACUCUGGUGGAGGCUCGUAGCGAUUCUGACGUGCAAAUCGAUCGUCAAAUUUGGGUAUAGGGGCGAAAGACUAAUCGAACCAUCUAGUA
rnacentral:rRNA from 1 species